CGGAGAGCACAUCCUGGGCCACCUUUAUAUGUCCUGAUUCAGGCCUGCCAUUUGAAGCACUUGGAACAAAGCAACACGGACCCCCUUAUGUAUCCGAAGGAGAUCGCUUUAUUAUAAAAAUAGGCCGCUGUUUAUACCUUUAACCUCAACCUGACAUAAUGGAAACCAAACCAAGGCCUAACAGAACUUAACAGAAGGAGGGCACCCAUUGGCUGGCUCAGCUGCAGUGCUGCUAUCGUGUCCUACCAUCCAAUCAGCUUGCUGUUCAUACAAUAUCCACCUGCCCUACCAUCCAAUCAGCUUCCGGCUCAUACGCUGUCCACAUGUUCCUGCAGCCAAUCACCAUCUCACUCCCAUCUGACUCUCCCCUCACCCCGAUUGCCUCUCAGCCCUCAGCCGACUCCCCGCACCCAGCCGCAGCUGGGCCUUUCCCUCAGGGCCUUCUGGUCAGCACAGGCCUUGGCAACCUUAACAAUUAGAACCCCAUGUCCUACACUCAGUUGUACCACAUUGGAAUCAAACAAAAGACAUAAAUCCAGAUCUGAUUGAGGGGCAGUUACAGAAUGACAAAGAUCCCUACAGCCGGGACUGUGGCUGAAGCUGCUGUGCAGAGUCGCUGUUCAGCUCCUCCUGAGGGGGGCCAGGUUCAGGAGGGAGGUGGUCAAGGUUUCCUUGGACACUGAUGCUGAGGAACCAGAGGAUGGAUGGCCCCAUUCUGCAGAAGAGCAGCAUAACCCCCUAAUCUCUGUGCCAUUAAAUGGUCCAAGCAUCUGGUGAUGGGAAUUUCCAAAUUCCAUGUACUUUCUGGAUACAGGCACAGGAGUUCAGUAGAGUUCACUAUUGACAAACACUUCAUUCAGAAGGAUUUAAUUCUAGAAUUGAAGAAUCCGUCAAAUCCACACUGAAAGGAUAAGGGAAUGUUGCUGUCCCUCCCCAGCUCUGCAGCCCUACCUGGUGUCCCUUCCCAUCAGCUGGGAAUGCAGGGCUGGCUCUGCUGGACAGAAGGGGAAGGAUGCUCCAUGUGAUCCCAGCCCCUCUCCUGCCAGAGAGAGGCACCAGCCCUGCAGGGAUUUGGGAACUCAUCACCACUCCAUGCUGGGAGUGUCCCCAGGGAUUAAUGUUUCCCAUUCUCUGCAGGCAAGAGCUCCCUGCAAACACCAUGAGACUCAUCAGCUGAGCCAAAGGAGAUGGAGUUCAUUCCCUGGGGCUGAGUCCAUGAGGGUCAUUCCAUGGGGAAUAGA